rnacentral:rRNA from 1 species
GACGAACGCUGGCGGCGUGCUUAAACACAUGCAAGUCGAACGAAGAGCGAUGGAAGCUUGCUUCUAUCAAUCUUAGUGGCGAACGGGUGAGUAACGCGUAAUCAACCUGCCCUUCAGAGGGGGACAACAGUUGGAAACGACUGCUAAUACCCCAUACGAUCUAACCUCGGCAUCGAGGAAAGAUGAAAGGUGGCCUCUAUGUAUAAGCUAUCACUGAAGGAGGGGAUUGCGUCUGAUUAGCUAGUUGGAGGGGUAACGGCCCACCAAGGCGAUGAUCAGUAGCCGGUCUGAGAGGAUGAACGGCCACAUUGGGACUGAGACACGGCCCAGACUCCUACGGGAGGCAGCAGUGGGGAAUCUUCCGCAAUGGACGAAAGUCUGACGGAGCAACGCCGCGUGAGUGAUGACGGCCUUCGGGUUGUAAAGCUCUGUUAAUCGGGACGAAAGGCCUUCUUGCGAAUAUC